rnacentral:rRNA from 1 species
CGAACGCUGGCGGCGUGCUUCACACAUGCAAGUCGAACGGUGAAGCUCCAGCUUGCUGGAGUGGAUCAGUGGCGAACGGGUGAGUAACACGUGAGCAACCUGCCCCUGACUCUGGAAUAAGCGCUGGAAACGGCGUCUAAUACUGGAUACGAGAAGGGUCCGCAUGGGCACUUUCUGGAAAGUUUUUCGGUUGGGGAUGGGCUCGCGGCCUAUCAGCUUGUUGGUGAGGUAAUGGCUCACCAAGGCGACGACGGGUAGCCGGCCUGAGAGGGCGACCGGCCACACUGGGACUGAGACACGGCCCAGACUCCUACGGGAGGCAGCAGUGGGGAAUAUUGCACAAUGGGCGAAAGCCUGAUGCAGCGACGCCGCGUGAGGGAUGACGGCCUUCGGGUUGUAAACCUCUUUCAGCAGGGAAGAAGCGAAAGUGACGGUACCUGCAGAAGAAGCACCGGCUAACUACGUG